rnacentral:lncRNA from 1 species
CUCUCCUUUUUUAGCUGCCCAGAUUGAAUUCCUCCGGAAACAACUAAGAAACAUGGGUCUUUCUCUACUUAUUCACGAAAAUGGCACUCUGUUCUUGCAAAAGGAGAGAAACGUCAAAAUGACUUAAUUAGUAUAUAUUUAAGAGGCAUUUUGGCAUUGUUUUAUUCACCUGCAUUUGCAAGAACAGUGAAUAUAUAUGCUACUUAUAUAUCAGUGGUGAGGGAAAAGAACCUGAGAAUAGUAGCCUUUUGUGAUUUCGGAAAUGGUGUCUGUCAAAUAGCUGAAAAAACCCAUUAAUACAACCAAUCUGCUUCUGCACUUGACUAUUUUCGGAAGAUACUAUUCUUCCAGACAUUUCUCAAAGCCUGCAAAUUAACGAAACGACAUUAGUGUUAGACACUGCAACUUCCGUUUGGUGAAAACUCAUUGCAUGCAUUCAUUUAUUAGUUGCAUGUCCCAAGAGGUAGCUAGUGGCGGAUACAGAAUUAAUUUAGAUUGUUGUGGUAGUUGAAGUAGCGAAGCCAAGAAUUUUAAUUCCAAUAGGGGAUUCAAAAAAAUGCAAAAAUGCUAUACUGGAGAUUCAAAUUUGUGCAUUUAAACUCUAGAUUCUGUACCGCAAAAUCAUGGUUGAAUCCGUAACAGCAUGACGAAGUUGAGGAAACUCACCACAAGUGAUCAGCUAGAGAAAUGAGGGCAACAAGAAAGAUUAAGGCACAGUGAUUUGGUACAAGGAGUGAACAGG